rnacentral:rRNA from 1 species
UAGGGAAUCUUCCGCAAUGGGCGAAAGCCUGACGGAGCAACGCCGCGUGAGUGAUGAAGGUCUUCGGAUCGUAAAACUCUGUUAUUAGGGAAGAACAAAUGUGUAAGUAACUAUGCACGUCUUGACGGUACCUAAUCAGAAAGCCACGGCUAACUACGUGCCAGCAGCCGCGGUAAUACGUAGGUGGCAAGCGUUAUCCGGAAUUAUUGGGCGUAAAGCGCGCGUAGGCAGGUUUUUAAGUCUGAUGUGAAAGCCCAAGGCGCAACCGUGGAGGGUCAUUGGAAACUGGAAAACUUGAGUGCAGAAGAGGAAAGUGGAAUUCCAUGUGUAGCGGUGAAAUGCGCAGCGAUAUGGAGGAACACCAGUGGCGAAGGCGACUUUCUGGUCUGUAACUGACGCUGAUGUGCGAAAGCGUGGGGAUCAAACAGG